rnacentral:lncRNA from 1 species
CACCUUGAGCCCGACGGAAGAGGAAGAACAAUCCAGCGAAAGCAAGGAAAGGGAAAAGCAAAUUCCCAAUAAAAUUGAAAAGCCCAUUACCGGAAUCACCCUCGGAUACCGAAAUAUCGACGCCAUUCAUGGCUAAGAUGUCGAUGAGGUCAGGGUCAUUGGGGACAAUCACGGUGGCUCUACGGCCAUCAACGGCGGUGAGUUGGAGGGCAGAACCGUCUUUGCUGAACCUGACUCUCUCCACUUUCCCCUUCUUGACUGCGUUCAAGAAUUCGCUGUACCUCCAUUGGCUGCCCUCCGGAAGAUCGGAGGAUUGAGAUUGAGGCUUGGGAGCAGUUAAGAGGAGGUUUUGGGAGAAGGGCGACUGGUUCGAUGGGCUUGGCUUCGUAGGCUGGGCUUCAAUUACAGGUGGCGGAGUGGGUGGGGCGUUGUCAACGGCUAGUGCUUGUGGGGCUACGGCAGAGAAGAGUAAGGCAGCAAGAGUGGCAUGAGAUUGGAGGGUUUUAACAGUGUGGCUAGAGUUGGGUUUCUUGUUGAGGAUAGAUUGAGUAACC